rnacentral:lncRNA from 10 species
AAUAAGAGGUGGGAGGCAGCCUCACAAGUUAGCAAUGCAGGGAAUGUUACAAGGAGUUAGCUUCAGUAUGAAAAAAACAUUUGUUUAGAGGCAUGGGAUAGAAUCACUGAAAUGCUGAGACAACUGUUCCUUCUCCUCCCUUGAGCUAAGACCCUGAAAGCUGAACCAGUACCAUCUCCUUGGAGCACCUUCUGAGGGUCCCUCUAGCCUACAAAGUGUAGUCAAGUGGAAUUUGUGCGCUUUCCUGAUUCAGGCCCAAUCCAGUCUUCCUAUGCCAGCCACAGAGCAGUCCCAUACUCCCUUCUGCUCAAUCCUACCCUGCCUCUUCUGCCUGUGAGUAUCCUAUUCACUUGGCUUGGAUUACCUUUCUUGCUCAUCUGCAGUAGACUUUACCAAUGCUCCCUGCUAUCUGGAUCUCUUCCACGUUCAGAGCAGCUGUGUCUCAUAAGAUGUUAAUACUGCAGAUGUCCUGAGAAGUAUGUGUCUUCCAUGGUCAAAAGCGUACAGGUAGCAGACCAGCAAGUUAACUACAUAAUCACAUCUCUCAGUAGAACGUGACUACCAUUCCUGCAAGAACCUUAAACAAACACUUAUCACCAUCAAGAUGCCUAUUCUGGCAGAAGCCCAUUCCUCCAUCUGCAUGGAUGAUCAGAACAGAAAACAAUCCGGGAAUAUGUUGCUGUUUAGAAUUGGAGCAUCAAAAGCCAAUGCAGAAGAUACAGAAGGAGCAGCCAGGAAGAAAAUCAGGACAGUGGUGUUUCACAGAAACCUAGAGAGAAGAGAAUUUCACAGAAAAAUUAGCAGAGCAUGCCAACUACUGAUACUGAUUAGGGAAAUUUAGAAAUGUCAAAAAUCUUCUAACUCAGCCAUGAAGAGAUCACUGCUGAUUUUCUGUCAGGGAAAAACCCCAA